UUUUGAAUCAGUGAUAUCCUUAAGGUAAACUGGGAUUAGGUACCCCACUAUUUUUGGAUGUAAAUUAGAUAUGAUUUACCAGAGCACUAUGAAUGUAUAAAGAUUUAAAACUCAAAGGACUUGGCGGUGUUUUAGACCACUCAGGGGAACCUGUCUCGUAAUCGAUAAUCCGCGUUGCACCUGACCUCUUUUUGUUCUCAGUUUGUAUACCGUUGUCGUCAGGUAACUUUUUAGAAACUAGAAGUUAGCUAUAGAAAUAAUUGAUGGUUUAAUACGUCAAAUCAAGGUGCAGCUUAUAUAGAGGGGAGGAUGGGUUACAAUUAUAUAAUUUAUAAUAACGGAGAUAUACAUGAAUAUGUGUUAAUUAUAAGGUGGACUUGAAAGUAAAUUGAAAUAUAUAAAUAAUUUGAAUAAGGCUCUGAAACGUGU
rnacentral:rRNA from 1 species